GGUGAACGCUGGCGGCGUGCUUAAGACAUGCAAGUCGAACGGCAGUCUUCGGACUGUAGUGGCGCACGGGUGAGUAACGCGUAACUGACCUACCCCAAAGUCGCGGAUAACGAUUCGAAAGAAUCGCUAAUACGUGAUGUGCUGUCAGAUUGUGUUCUGCCAUUAAAGAUUGAUUGGUUUGGGAUGGGGUUGGGUUCCAUCAGCUAGUUGGUGGGGUACAGGCCCACCAAGGCGACGACGGAUAGCCGGCCUGAGAGGGUGGCCGGCCACAGGGGCACUGAGACACGGGUCCCACUCCUACGGGAGGCAGCAGUUAGGAAUCUUCCACAAUGGGCGAAAGCCUGAUGGAGCGACGCCGCGUGAGGGAUGAAGGUCUUCGGAUCGUAAACCUCUGAAUCAGGGACGAAAGACACUUCGGUGGGAUGACGGUACCUGAGUAAUAGCACCGGCUAACUCCGUGCCAGCCGCCGCCGUAACAC
rnacentral:rRNA from 1 species